rnacentral:tRNA from 1 species
UCCCGUGUGGCUCAGUUGGUAGAGCAUGGUGUUUGCAACAUCAGGGUUGUGGGUUCGAUUCCCACGGGAA